UUCCCAUUCAAGGCGAGUUCAUGUAAGAUGAAGUUAAUAGAGCAUCUGAUUUGAUUUUUUGUUGCAAAUUGGUUUGAAUGUAGAAGUGACCUGUGUUUUGUAGUUAUUUGGUUUAUGUGUAUAAAUGCCGUUUCAAAAUUUGGCAUUCAAGCUACCGCAGUGGGAAAACAAAAUACAAGCUAAUACUGUUUUUAUACUACUGCUAUCACCUUGCCCGAAUUCGCCUUGUCCGUUGACUUUGGGCUGUUUACAAGGCGAGUUGAGUCUUCUAUCAUUCCUGGGUUGUUUACAUUCAUUUACAAGCUGUUUAAAUUGAUAUUUAACAAUUUUACAAUGUCUUAAUGUAAACUGCAAUAAUUUUGACCUUAGUUAAUCAGGUAUGUGGAAAUGCCGCCAAAAAAGGAUCCAAAACUACUGUCGCUGAUACAGGCCGUGCGCAGAAAUACACCUUUGUAUGAUUUUCGACAUGUUAAGUAUGGAUUUUAAGAAGGGAGUUUGGGAAUUCAUCGCAGUAGAGUGUGACUUUGAAAAUGUUAUAGUCGCCGACUCUAAGGAUGCUUGGAACCGUCUCUACAAAUCUUUUAUGAUCUGCUUUUGCAAUGAAUUAAUACGUCUUGCACGUGCCAAUUAUAAUGCAAAACAUAUUUCCCUGCCGUUGGAAGAAAAUACUGACGCUAUCAGCGGUUGAAGCAGUUCACUACACUGAAAUGCGUUUCAUUGCAUUAUUCAGAGAUAAAAGCAAAGAUCCUGAAUUGGAAAGACUUAUUCAAUUGGCGCAACCGAUCGUAUUGCCUGCAAAUCAAUAUUAAACGGCCUUGCAAUGAGUGACGACCCUGCAACGUUCCCACGGCUGUCGAUUCUACGUAACUGGAACGAUCCGCAUUUAUAUCCGGCCAAGGACUGUCCCCACAGCAGCAUUCCCAGUAUAUGUAUAGGGAUUGUUUAUGCUGCUGCUACAACAACAACCUUGCAAUGAAACCUCUCCCACCUCCCAUCUGCUGAGACACAAACUCUUUCCGAAAAUAUACUAAUGGAUAUUCCAGCAAUAAAUGAAGAAAAUAUGUCAGAAAAAGAAAAAAGUUUGUGGGUAGUUUUUUUGAUGCUGUUUUUCGUGCAAAGCGUUUAUUGCCAAUCAAAUUGGAGAACGAAGUUAAGCGUGAAAUGUUGCAGUCACUGAACGAGGCAGAAAUUUCAGCUGUUGCCGAAAAAACAUAGGACGUUUAGCAAAAGAAAAGAGAUAAAGGAAAACAGUAUAUAACAUUUUGCCUAGAAAUUUGCAUUCACUUUGCUUAAGACUCGUAUAAUAUGUAUCCACGUUCUUCACAAAUAUUAAGUUUGGUCACAGUAACGGUUUCAGUAUAAACUAAUUCUAAACUUAAACUCAAAAGAUCUUAAUCGAAUGGUAUUAAUAUUCGAAAUACUAACAUAUUUCCUUUUCUGCCUUUGGGUUUGUUAUUGAAAGUGGUUAAGGAUAAACAAUUCACUAUUGUCAAUGGAUUCGACUGCCAGUUUGUUAUACUAAGCAACACCAUUCCAUGGCAGCCGGCUCUACGUUACCGGAAUGACUCGGGGUUUUCCCGACCAAGGGCUGCCACCCCAGUAAACUAGCCUUGUCUAGUGUAACGUAUCUCACUAAGCAACAUUGAACCUCACUGAUCUCUGAGCCAUAUACAAAUUUUACAAAAAUAAUUUUACCAAUGCUUCAUCCAGAUCAGCGAUAUAUAGAUACAAAUCUCAAGGUGAUAUAUUUGGUGAAGAGAUAUCCAUUGGUGUACAGUAGUUCGUCGAGAAAAGUGCAACGAGAAAUAUGGGAACAUAUAUAUAAAUCUUGUAUGACAUAAAAGAUGCAAGCUCGUAAUCGAUGACGUCAACUUAUUAAUAAUUUUUGUACGCACAUGAAUGUGACCAAGAAAACUUCA